GCCGAAAUAGCUCAGUCGGUAGAGCAACUGAUUCGUAAUCAGUAGGUCGGCGGUUCGAUUCCGCCUUUCGGCACCA
rnacentral:tRNA from 2 species